rnacentral:ncRNA from 1 species
AACCAGCUAUAAUGGAAAAAAACAUUUUAUAUAUAUAUAUAGGACUCUUUUGAAGCCCUGCAAUUGAAAUGAAUCCACCUUAAAUCCUUCAGCAAGGAUCCAUUGGAAGGCAAGUCUGAUGUCAGCAGCUGUGGUUAUUCCAGCUUCAAUAGUGUAUAUUAAAGUUGCUGCAGUUAAAAAGGUGAAGUUGGAUGUUGGGAGUGGGUGGGUGCUCUGCCAUGAGGUGAGCCACUGCCUAUCCCUGCCCCUUGCCUCUUGGUACCCCCUUGAUGCUUUUAGCUGAGUGUCCUAUGGGAACUGAAGCAUUUAUUUUGACAAAAAAAAUUACGUUCAAAACAGGCUCAAGCCACCUGGAUACUGCAGCUAGGAAUAACAUAAUAGGACCAUGGUUCUUUUUGUUGUUUUGUUUUGAACUGAGGCCAUGAUUACGAGGGAUGGCCAGGGUCAUUUGUAUUGUGUUACUAGAGGUGAAAUUUUUAGACUGGUGCAAGGUGGACCAGAGUGAAAGCAUUUGCCGAGAAUGUUUUCAUUAAUCAAGAAUGAAAAUCAAAGUUUCGAAGAUGGUCGUAUGUCAUUGUAGUUCUGACCAUAAAUGAUGACAACUGGCGGUGCAGCAGCAUUAUUCCCAAGACCUACUGGUAAAUUCUGGUAAACCCAAGUCUUUGGGUUCCAGGGGGAGUAUGAUUGCAAAGCUGGAGCUUAAAGGAAUUGAUGGGAGGGCACCACCAGGAGUUGAGCCUUUGGCUUAAUUUGACUCAGCACAGGAAAUCUCACCCAGCCCAGACAUGGACAGUAUUGACAGAUUAAUAGCUCUUUCUCAAUUCUGUGGGUGGUGGUACAUGGCCGUACUUAGUUGUAGUGAUUAGGUUAAUUCUGAUAAUGAACAAGAUUCUGGCAUGCUAACUAGUUAUGUGACCCCUGAGCGGUGGGCAUCCCCCCAACUUCUUGGAGGGACAAGUGCCAUUCAGCCACCCGAGAUUGAGCAAUAACAGGUCUGUGAUGCCCUUACAUAUCUGAGGCUGCACUCAUGCUACACUGACUGGCUCAGCGUGUGCCUACCCUAUGCCAGCAGGCAUGGGUAACAUAUUGAAUUCUACUUGUGAUGAGGAUCAGGGAUUGCAGUUAUUCCCCAUGAAGGAGGAAUUCCCAGUAAGUGUGAGUCAUAAGCUAGUGUUAUGUGCCUGUCACUUGUACAUAUCACCCACUGCAAUUACUGAUUGGAAGGUUUAGUGAGGCCCUUGGGUUGGUCAUGCUGGGUUUGGCACAGGGACCUGGCAGAGCUCUAAGAAGAUAGUUGAAGUUGACUAUCAAGAGGAAGUUAAAGUUUUAACAAGGUGUCCCUAGGUGAACUAGCAGAUCAUAA